UACGAAGGGGGCUAGCGUUGUUCGGAAUUACUGGGCGUAAAGCGCGCGCAGGCGGUCCUUUAAGUCAGGUGUGAAAGCCCAGAGCUCAACUCUGGAACUGCCUUUGAAACUAGAGGACUUGAGUACGGGAGAGGUGAGUGGAAUUCCGAGUGUAGAGGUGAAAUUCGUAGAUAUUCGGAAGAACACCAGUGGCGAAGGCGGCUCACUGGCCCGUUACCGACGCUCAGGCGCGACAGCGUGGGGAGCAAACAGG
rnacentral:rRNA from 1 species